GAAAAGCAGGAGUUGCCAUAGCAUGUUUGUUAAUCUCUCGGUCUGGCAGCAGAGGAACUAGAUCGUAAGAUAUCAGAUGCUAUUUCCACAGUUACAUUUGACGGGGAUAAAUUUUGUGUGUUAGAAACUUUAUCCAUUGCUACUAGCUAACGUAGGCCUACUGUCGUUAUCUAUUGGCACCAUAGGCUACUAGCCAAAACCCAUUACAGAUAGUUUCGGUGGGCAAU